AACGAACGCUGGCGGCAGGCUUAACACAUGCAAGUCGAACGCCCCGCAAGGGGAGUGGCAGACGGGUGAGUAACGCGUGGGAACAUACCCUUUUCUACGGAAUAGCUCUGGGAAACUGGAAUUAAUACCGUAUACGCCCUACGGGGGAAAGAUUUAUCGGGGAAGGAUUGGCCCGCGUUGGAUUAGCUAGUUGGUGGGGUAAAGGCCUACCAAGGCGACGAUCCAUAGCUGGUCUGAGAGGAUGAUCAGCCACAUUGGGACUGAGACACGGGCCAAACUCCUACGGGAGGCAGCAGUGGGGAAUAUUGGACAAUGGGCGCAAGCCUGAUCCAGCCAUGCCGCGUGAGUGAUGAAGGCCUUAGGGUUGUAAAGCUCUUUCACCGAUGAAGAUAAUGACGGUAGUCGGAGAAGAAGCCCCGGCUAACUUCGU
rnacentral:rRNA from 1 species